GACAGAGGGUGCAAACGUUGCUCGGAAUUACUGGGCGUAAAGCGCGUGUAGGCGGGUUGGUAAGCCAGAUGUGAAAUCCCUAUGCUCAACGUAGGAACUGCAUUUGGAACUGCCAGUCUUGAGUAGUGGAGAGGAAAGCGGAAUUCCUGGUGUAGAGGUGAAAUUCGUAGAUAUCAGGAGGAACAUCGGUGGCGAAGGCGGCUUUCUGGACACUAACUGACGCUGAGACGCGAAAGCGUGGGGAGCAAACAGG
rnacentral:rRNA from 1 species